AUUAUCCUACGGGGGGCAGCAGUAGGGAAUCUUCCACAAUGGACGAAAGUCUGAUGGAGCAACGCCGCGUGAGUGAAGAAGGGUUUCGGCUCGUAAAGCUCUGUUGGUAGUGAAGAGAGAUAGAGGUAGUAACUGGCCUUUAUUUGACGGUAAUUACUUAGAAAGUCACGGCUAACUACGUGCCAGCAGCCGCGGUAAUACGUAGGUGGCAAGCGUUGUCCGGAUUUAUUGGGCGUAAAGCGAGUGCAGGCGGGUCAAUAAAGU
rnacentral:rRNA from 1 species